ACCAGCAAGUACUAUGUGACUAUCAUUGAUGCCCCAGGACACAGAGACUUCAUCAAAAACAUGAUUACAGGGACAUCUCAGGCUGACUGUGCUGUCCUGAUUGUUGCUGCUGGUGUUGGUGAAUUUGAAGCUGGUAUCUCCAAGAAUGGGCAGACCCGAGAGCAUGCCCUUCUGGCUUACACACUGGGUGUGAAACAACUAAUUGUCGGUGUUAACAAAAUGGAUUCCACUGAGCCACCCUACAGCCAGAAGAGAUAUGAGGAAAUUGUUAAGGAAGUCAGCACUUACAUUAAGAAAAUUGGCUACAACCCCGACACAGUAGCAUUUGUGCUAAAUGAAUAUUAUCCCUAAUACCUGCCACCCCACUCUUAAUCAGUGGUGGAAGAACGGUCUCAGAACUGUUUGUUUCAAUUGGCCAUUUAAGUUUAGUAGUAAAAGACUGGUUAAUGAUAACAAUGCAUCGUAAAACCUUCAGAAGGAAAGGAGAAUGUUUUGUGGACCACUUUGGUUUUCUUUUUUGCGUGUGGCAGUUUUAAGUUAUUAGUUUUUAAAAUCAGUACUUUUUAAUGGAAACAACUUGACCAAAAAUUUGUCACAGAAUUUUGAGACCCAUUAAAAAAGUUAAAUGAGAAA
rnacentral:sRNA from 1 species